UCUGCACUGAUCAACCAGGUGAUGUAACUCUUGUCUAGGCUCUGCUUACGGGGGUAUUGUGACAUAGCUCUGCACUGAUCACCUAAGUGAUGUAACACUUGUGUAGGCUCUGCCUACAGGGGCAUUUUGACAUAUCUCUGCACUGUUAACCGAGGUGAUGUAACUCUUGUCUAGGCUGUGCCCACAGGGGGAUUGAGACAUAUCUCUGCACUGAUCCCGAGGUGAUCCAACUCUUGCCUGGUCUCUGCCUACUGGGGACAUUGUGACAUAUCUCUGCACUGAUCUCCCAGGUGAUGUAACCCUUGUCUAGGCUCUGCCAAAAGGGGGCAUUGUGACAUAACUCUGCACUGAUCACCCAGGUGAUGGGACUCUUGUCUAGGCUCUGCCUACAGGGGCAUUGUGACAUAUCUCUGCAGUGAUCACGCAGGUGAUGUAACUCUUGUCUAUAUCUGUCUACUGGUGGCAUUGUGGCAUAUUUCUGCACUGAUCACCCAGGUGAUGGACUCUUGUCUUGGAUCUGCCUAUGGGGGCAUAGUGACAUAUCUCUGCACUGAUCACUCAUGUGAUGUAACGCUUGUCUAAGCUGCGCCUAAAGGCGAAUUGUGACAGAUAUCUCCACUGAUCACCCAGGUGAUGUAACUCUUGUCUAGGCCCCACCUACAGGGGGUAUUGUGACGUAUCUCUGCAGUGAUCACCCAGGUGAUGUAACACUCAUCUAGGCUCUGCCUACAGGGGCGUUUUGACAUAGCUCUGCACAGAUCAUCUAGGUUAUGUAACUUUUGUCCACUCUCUGCCUACAGGGGGCAUUGUGAAAUAUCUCUGCACUGAUCACCCAGGUGAUGGGACUCUUCUCUAUACUCUGCCUAGAGGGGGAUUUGUGACAUAUCUCUGCACUGAUCACCCAGGUGAUGGAAGUCUUGUCUAGGCUCUGUCUAUGGGGGCAUUGUGUCAAAUAUCUGCACUGAUCACCCAGGUGAUGUAACUCUUGUCUAGGCUCUGUCUACAGGGAUUUUUGUGACAUAUCACUGCACUGAUCACCUAGGUGAUGUAAACCUUGUAUGGGCUUUGCCUACAGAAGGCUUUGUGACAUAUCUAUGCACUGAUCUCUGAGGUGAUUCAACUCUUGUCUAGGCACUGCCUACAGGGCACAUUGGUACAUAUCUCUGCACUGAUCACCCAGGUGAUGGACCCUUGUCUUAGAUCUGCCUACAUGGACAUUGUGACACAUCUCUGAACUGAUCAACCAAGUGAUGAAACUCUUGUCUAGGCUCUGCCUACAGGGGCUUUGUGACACAUCUCUGCACUGAUCACCCUGGGGAGGGAACUCUUGUCUACGCUCUGCCUACAGGGGCUUUGUGACACAUCUCUGCACUGAUCACCCUGGGGAGGGAACUCUUGUCUACGCUCUGCCUACAGGAGGCUUUAUGACUAAUACUUACACUGAUAACCUAGGUGAUGUAACACUUGUCUAGGCUCUGUCUACACGGGAAUUUUCACAUACCUCUACACUGAUCACCUAAGUGAUGUAACCCUUGUCUAGGUUCAGCCUACUAGGGAGAUCUGACACACAUCUGCACUGAUCACCGAGGUGAUGUAAAUCAUUUCCAGGCUUUUUCUACAG
rnacentral:lncRNA from 1 species